rnacentral:rRNA from 1 species
AUGCCCAUGGCGCCUCCGCCUUUGCUCCCCCUCUCCGCGCUCCUCCUCCUCCUGCUCACCGCCGCCUCCCAUGCCUCUGCCAAGCCCGUCCAGACUCAGUCCCUCCUCGCCACCCCUCUCUCGCCCGACCGUGUCUCCGCCCCGUCGGAACUAGCCCGCGACGACGACACCAACGUCUUUGCCGCUGCCGAGGACGCCGUCGCCGGGACAGUUCGUUUCCGCGUGGUCCACCGGGAUGACUUCUCAAAGAACGCCACCGCGGCCGAGCUGCUCGCGCACCGGCUGGAGCGGGACGAGAAGAGGGCGGCGCGGCUCUCGGCGGCCGCCGGCGCGGCCAACGCGACGCGCCGCGGCGGCGGAGGGGUCGUGGCGCCGGUGGUUUCCGGGCUGGCCCAAGGGAGCGGAGAGUACUUCACCAAGAUCGGGGUGGGGACGCCCGCCACGCCGGCGCUCAUGGUGCUCGACACCGGCAGCGACGUCGUGUGGCUGCAGUGCGCGCCGUGCAGGCGCUGCUACGAGCAGUCUGGCCAGGUGUUCGACCCGCGCCGCUCGCGCUCCUACGGCGCGGUCGGCUGCGCCGCCCCGCUUUGCCGCAGGCUCGACUCCGGCGGCUGUGACCUGCGCCGCAGUGCGUGCCUCUACCAGGUCGCUUACGGCGAUGGCUCCGUCACCGCCGGGGACUUCGCCACCGAGACCCUCACCUUCGCUGGCGGUGCCCGUGUGGCGCGCGUUGCUCUGGGGUGCGGCCACGACAACGAGGGUUUGUUCGUCGCGGCGGCGGGCCUCCUCGGGCUCGGCCGAGGCAGCCUAUCCUUCCCCACCCAGAUCUCCCGCCGUUAUGGGCGGAGCUUCUCGUACUGCCUUGUGGACCGUACCUCGUCGGCCAACUCCGCCUCCCGCUCUUCGACCGUGACCUUCGGCUCCGGCGCCCUAGGCUCCACGGUUGCCUCGUCCUUCACCCCGAUGGUCAAGAACCCUCGGAUGGAGACGUUCUACUACGUGCAGCUCAUCGGUAUCAGCGUGGGCGGCGCGCGCGUCCCUGGCGUGGCGAACUCCGACCUCCGUCUCGACCCGUCGUCGGGGCGUGGUGGCGUCAUCGUGGACUCUGGCACGUCCGUGACCCGGCUCGCCCGCGCGGCCUACUCGGCUCUGCGCGACGCAUUCCGCGGGGCCGCCGCUGGGCUCCGGCUCUCUCCCGGCGGGUUCUCCCUGUUCGACACGUGCUACGACCUGAGCGGGCGCAAGGUGGUGAAGGUGCCGACCGUGUCGAUGCACUUCGCCGGUGGCGCGGAGGCGGCUCUGCCCCCGGAGAACUACCUGAUCCCGGUGGACUCGAAAGGGACGUUCUGCUUCGCGUUCGCGGGCACGGACGGCGGCGUGUCCAUCAUCGGCAACAUACAGCAGCAGGGCUUCCGGGUGGUGUUCGACGGCGACGGCCAGCGCGUCGCCUUCGUGCCCAGGGGCUGUUAA